UGCGUGCUGUGGUCCUCACCACCACCGCGCCUCCACCUCCUUUUCCCCCUCUUAAAUCUCUCUCCAAGCCUCUCUGGAAAACCCUAGCCUUCCUCCCUCUAGUCGCCGCCGCCCACUCUCUUCUUCCCCACCUUUUUCCCCUUCUCUGUGAGCAAAGGAGAGCCACCCCGGCGCUCAGUUCCCCAUGGCGUCGCUGCUCCCACCUCCCCUCGCCGUUCUGAGGGCACCGUUAGAUGCGUCUCGUCAUCCUCUACAGCCUCGUCCAAGGAAUCGAGCCGAGAGCCUCCCAAUCGAGCGCAAGGUCGUCGUUUCUCAUCCAUGGCCGCCAUGCUCCGACGUCGAUUCUAGCCGCCCUCGUCCUCCUCCGGUCAAACCGAGCACACCCCUGGUUUCCCCGUGUUCAGGCGCACCCCCGACGCCCCGCGCUCGUCCCGGUUCGCUCCGAAUCGUGAGAUCCAUGGUCGACCUGAUCUCCGUUCGCCAUGGUUGUCUUGGUCAAGAGCUCUGCCUCGCCUACUUCACAAGUUGGUGCGGCCCAUCAUGUUCAACAUCAACACCAGCAGCACACUGAUCUUGCACGCAUAGAUGCUUCAGAUGCUUCAGUUCGUGUUGAUAUAUAACAGAUCAACAACAGCAGCUAGUGCAUCUGAUCUGCUUUUGGGCCUUGAUCCGUGUCUCUUCCGGUGCAGCCCAUCGCGUGUGCGGCCCGAAGCUAACCGUCGCCGCUCGCAGGCCAGAACUGGGCCGGCCCACGCGCGCCAUACAUUUCCUCCCGCCGGCCAGCAUUUUCUUCUUCCCGGAUAGGAUCACGAAGUGUUGAUGUGAGAUACAACGAGUUCUCCGACAAGUUCUUCUGCAGCUUUUCACAGGCGAGCCCUCUCUCUUCACCUAUUAUACACUCUCCCUCGCAUUGCUAUCCUUAUGUUGCGCUUCUUUAUCGAGUCACGUGUCCUAUUCCACUCGUUUACCAUGAUAAUCCUAUAUGUAUCAUUCCUUACCCAUAGCCGUUGCUUGAUGAUUGAGCCUUGCGAGUCGUAGGCAUGUUUAAGCUCUGUUGUUUAUCUCGAUCUGUUAUCGGGAUAUGUUGGGUUGUUGGGAGGUUAUCACAUGCUAUAUCAGUUGUUGGAGAUACACAUGCUUUACUUAAUUGUUAACAACUAAAAUUGUAAGCAGAGGCAUCUGUGAGCCCCUUUGCGAAAGCAUCGGAACUUUGACUUGCUAAUGUCCCCUAGGACCCGAGUUCUUGUUAUCUGUUCCGAGUUUGAGCGCUCUACCCGUACGUGGGGGAGUGGGACCCCCAUCACCCACUACCUUUCCUCGAGUCUGUUUAUUGGGAGCCACAACCUUGGUUUGAUUUGCCCAUAUGCACGAUGCACGAUUUACUUCCUGUUGUCUUCGGGUGUUUAUAUUAUGUAUUGUACUCAUAUUGCGUGCCGACUUAUCCUUGGCCGGUCGUUAGUGCCCGCCUUGGACGCCAUCGCAACCUCUGGGUCCGUAUCGGAGUACGGCCGAACUUCGUCACGGGUAGCUUAGUUGGGUGGCUCCCAUUAAACUUUCUCUUGCAUUGGGAACGGUCUUGUUGUUAGACUUCACCUGUAGUAAGUGGGGUCGAGCAUGCGUAUGGUUACAUUUGGGCAACCCCUGCAGGGUGUACAUCUUAUCGAUAAGCCGUGUCCGCGGUUAUGGACGACUUGGAAUUGUAUGGCUUGACCAUAGAACAACUUACACCUUAUACUUGUUGUUAAUAAUCUGAUAAUAAUUUGCGUAGUAAUAUAGCAUUACUACAACCGAUACCUAAUAAAACUUGUCCACCGUUGAGUGCCUUUUACAUUGCAUCUUCGCUUUGUUGAAGGGGAUAUGUGUAAUCGGCUGGGUUAUGUUCGUGUAGUAUUUAUCUGUUACCUUGUGCGCUCUCUUAUCUUCUCUGAGUAGACGGAUGUUGUAGCGUGUCUCUAUUGGUUAUAGUUUUGCUGCCGCUAAACCUACCAUAUAGCCCCAGGCGAUAUAUAUAUUCGCCCGGCGAGCAUAGCCAUUUCUAGUCUCGCUAAGUACGUGUCGGAGUUCGUUCCUUGGUACUUACUCUCGCCUUUUCCCUUUCUCUUUUGCUUCCUCCCUUUUGUCGGCAACCGAUGGCCCGACUUUGACAGGUACGAGAUGACGACGUUAGCAAGGUUACCCUUCCGGCUUGGCCUGGGCAGGGUUAUGGACGCCAUCGUUAUCUUCAGGACUCUUAGACCAAUUUGUAUCUUGUCCGUACUCGGACCUAUUCGAUCUUCUGUAUGAUUUGGAUCUUUGUAUUGUAUAUUUGUAUCUUGACUCGUUGGAGUCUUUGUUGUAAUAUAUGUAUCUUGUGGGCUCUAUUGUAAUCCUGUUGUAAUGUUA